CGGGGCUGGCGCCGGUGCUAGCCCCCCCUUGGUUCCGCCCCUGGCUGUAACCCUGAUCACAGACAAAUAAUCAGCCAACACGAAAUUAGUAAAGUCCUGGGCUCGAAUAAACCAUCCUCUUCUUCCCAAUUCAGGUAUUUAUGUCUAUGCUUCUAUGCUCGUGUUCAUGGUACUGGAGUUGGAUGCCCUCCUUGGAAUGUUUUUGUGGCACUCCUACCACUUUAAAGGACUAUGAUCAGUUCUAUUUUAUGGCAUGGAGUGGUGGAACGACGAGUCUAGCUUGAUCUGCUUAUAGAGGUCAGAUCUUCACGGUUGAGCUUGAACUAAUACACAUACAGGGUUAGAUUAUCUGUCAGAAAAUUCAGUUGCUUAAUUAGUUUCCUCGGUAUCUUUAAGCUUUUUACUAUUUCUCUACUCUUCACUGAAUUUUGAGUUUUUUUCCGUCCAUUUAUGUCACUGUGUCAGUCUCUCAAUUGCGACUUUCAGUAAUACAGGGUAAUUAAUAUCUGAUCCAUUCACUAAUCAUAUUCUUGUUUACGAAUUAGUUUGUUUAAGUUGAUCCGUGCUUAAUUAUUAAGACUGGGAUUGGCCUGAUACCUGAUAUACUGAUAGACCUAGUUCUAUCUCUAUUACAUGACUUCUCACUGUUCAGAUAAGUUUGUAAUAAAUUAAAUUAUGUAGCAGAGAUCCAUUUGAAAUGCUCUAAAAAUAUGGUUCAUAUUAAAUACUUUAAAAAUUUAAGCAAGCCAAAAGGCCCAUAAUAUCAUGCCACUAUUAUUGAUAUAUAUCUACUCCUAGAUGUUUUUUUAUACAAUAACAGAUAUUGACUUCAAAAACUCAUUCAUUGAAUCAUACUAGUAUAACUACUAAUAGAUGUCUUAGCUUAUGAUCAGUUAUGUCAUGCUAUUGUAUUCUAAUAGAUACAAUGUAGAGCAUAUGUUUCUGAACUUAUUUCUGCUUUAAAUCUGAGGUUGACAUUGUAAAUUUGUUAAUGUAAGUAGGAGACUGGUGUGCAGACUGUUAAUCUUAAUCUCCGAAUGUAAGAUGAGAGAGAAUCCACAACUGAAGUUUGCUCCAGAUGAUUUUACUAAAAUAUUUUUAUAUUAUUAAUAUAUAACCACUGCCUGAGCUUCCAUAAAUUCUUCUACUUCCUCUGGUUGCUCAAUCCAUGUGCUAUGCAAACACAAAACUUCAAAUUUGUUUAAUCCAUUUUAAAAUUGGAGGUCAAACUCACAUGGAACCAUUAUAAUAAUCACAAUAAUGUGACGCCAUGUUAGUCGAAUAGUUUUGCAGGAAUAACGAUAUCAUUUAUUGCACUAUUUUCGAUAAUAAUUUUGCAUUAUUGAAUUUACACGCCAUGAGUAUAUAUGUCCAGUAGUUCUUAAUAUUUACUGAUACUCUGCUGAUAAAAAUUGGAGACAGUAGCAGAGAUAAUCAAGGUGUAUGUCGAUUGUCAUUUUAACUUACUGUAUUAUGUUACAAAGUGUAUAGAACUUUUGUAUGUAAAAAAAAAGAAUAAGAAAAGCCACAUCUUCCUAAUAAGUUUACAAAAUGCCCGAAAGACUUGAAUUCUUUAGGCUUUUUGAAGAGGGCUUUCAUGUAUGCUAUCUUCUAUCUUUGUUUUCACUAAGUAUAAUCACAAAACAAUAUAUGUUAAUAUGUGUGUGUCUAUCUAGUUAUAUGUUCCUGGUGAUCAGAAUGUCGAAAUGCAUCUUCUAUGGGUGGGGACUUUUUGUUUUUUCUGCUUCAAAUCCUCCUUCCAGACUCUGGAAAUAUCUUGUGCAAUUUUCAUGGCAUCUGAGGAUGCACCAGAUAGUCCUCUCUUUGUGAAUCCAACAGCGUAAAGUCCAGUGUUUCCCUUCCAUCCAUUUGGGAAUGGGGUCUUGGGGUAUCCAGAUUUGGUGAAAAACUCGGUUUCUUGUAGCCAGUAGGGAACAUUACUGCAGUAUCCAGUGGCCAAAACAACUGAAUCAAUGUCUAGUUCUUCGCCAUUAUCAAGUUCUACCAUAGUUUUAGAGAACUUUUUGAUUCCAGGAACCACUUCAAUAUCGCCAGAUCGGAUCUUCUCCAAUGCUCCAAUAUCAAGAACAGGUGUUUUCCCAUGUGUGCUCUUUAGCUCCAUUGGACCAAUUGAUGGCCUUUUCAAACCAUAACUAUCAGUGUUGCCGAGUAUAAACCAUGUUAAUAUCAGCAAUAUCUUGUCAACUAGCCAUAAAGGGAGCCAUUUCAUCAUCAUCAUUGCCAGUUCAAAUGUUGAUUUUCCGAAUAUUUCUCUUGGCAAUACAUGGACCUGAAAUAUUUUCAAAAAAAUCAUUAGAACAAAGUACUAAUUCAUAGUUCAUAUCAUUUUAAAAAAUUUCAUGAUCAAGUAUUUAAGUUUGAGAACUAUAUUGAUGACUUACCGAGCUUCUAGACACCAUUGAUGGUUUAGCAUUGUGAUUACAGAGAUCAAGUGAAACUUCCAUUCCUGAAUUUCCACAUCCCACAACAAGAACUUUUUUCCCACUAUAUUUUUCACCAGACUUGUACUCGCAAGCAUGAAUAACUUCACCGCCAAAAUCCCCUAGUCCUGCAAUUUCAGGGACUACUCGCUCUGCAUUUUCUCCUGUGGCUACCACAAUCCACUGACAAAUGUACUCAACCUCAGACCUAGUAGAUCCUUGUGUUGAAACAGUUCUGAUUCUCCAUGAACGACAGACUUCAUCGUACUUAGCAGACUCCACAGAUUCAUUAAAUUGUGGUUUGAUGCCAAAAUGACUUGCAUAUGAUUCGAGAUAAUCAAUGAACUGUUUUUUUGUGGGAUAUUCUGGGUAAUGUUCAGGGAAUGGUAGUUUAGGAAGUUGACAGAACUGUUUUGGAAGGUGAAGCUUAAGGCGAUCAUAAGUUCUCUUCUGCCACAAAGAAGCUAUGCAAUCAGCUCUUUCAAGAACUACGAAAGGGAGGCCUUGUUCUUUAAGGCAAGCUCCCACAGCUAGUCCAGAUGGUCCAGCUCCGAUGAUUACUGGACCAUUAACCCAGACACACCUGCGGGAAAACAUAUCAUUUUGUUCUGAAAAACUAAACAUUUUGUGCUAGAAGAUUGGUUUAUGGUAUUAGUUGAAGCUUUCUGAUUUUCGAGGUUUUUGAAGUAGAAUGCUGAAGUGUUUUGUGUUUGUAAGAGAAGAAACUGUUGAGAUUGUUGGAGGGAGAGGAGUAGAUUGAAGUGUUUAUAUAGAGCUGCUAAAUGUUUAUGCCAUGUGCUGGAGGAUUGAGGAAUUUAAUGCAUUGGAGAGAGAGAAUACCCUCAAUUAUUUUUAUUCCAAUGUUAAUUUUAUUUCAUCAUAACAUAGUUAUUGAAUAUCACCCUUCUAAUGAAAAGAUUAAUAUCAGGAAGAGAACAUGCUUAUCUGACUUGAGCCAAAUGGUGGGCUUGAGCCUUGAGACUUGCACUUAAAAUUUUCUUAUGAUAGGUGUGAAAGAAUAAAAUGAUAAUUAGUGAGUGUGAUACUCAAUCUUUUAUUUAGUUAAAAUAAUUGGAGGUCUAUCAGUUCAAAAAUAGUGAUCCAUUUUAUAUAUAGGUCUAAUGCAUAAAACCUUUAUGUUAACUGCAAUUAUUUGUAGUCUUAUUCACAAUUAGUAAUGCAAAGAUAUUAAUAAGAUUUUAUUAUUUUAUAAUACUAGUUCUAUCUCAAUUGCCAAAUUCAUUAUUGCAGAUCUGUAAAUGAUUCAGUAAUUUCGACUUAUUUAGCAGUGACGUAUCGGUUUGACUUAUAAGGUUGUGUUCACUUGGAUGAAAUGGAAUAAGGAGAGAAUAUAAUGAAAAAUUAUAAAGAACGUUUUAUUGAGAAAGAAGAAGGUAUGAGAAAAUAGUGACCAAAUAUGAACAUUCCUUCCAAAACAUGUGGGUUAGAUUUCUAGUUUAAACAGUUUGGAAUGGAAUGACCGAAUGAAUGAAAAUUAUAGACAUUUUCUCUCAUCACCCCAAUUUAGAAUAUAAAUUUCAUUCAAUUCUUCUUACAUUCCAUUCUAAACAAAAGAACGCAGCCUAAAUGACUUUUAAGUAAGAAAUUGUGAGAUAUAUAUACUUGAAGGCUUGUUUCCAGUGAUCUUAUUUAUAAAGUAAAAGGAACUUUCAUGAAAUUUAUUGCAUGUGCCUUCUAAUUUUGAUUGAAAUAAUUAAUUUAUUUGAACUUUAUGUUCUCUCAUGAGUUGUUCAUCAGAGCUAAUUACUAAAAGCAUGCAUACAUAAUUAAAAUGAGAAUUAGGGGGGAAAGUGGUUAUCAUCCCUGAUUUUAAUGGCCCACUUAAUAAUUUCUAAAUCCUGUUCAAUAAUUUACCAACCAUAUACAAUAUGCUUCCAUCCAGAGGCUCAGAGCAGUGUGCUCACGUGGAGCUUAAGCUUAAGAUGUGUAAAUUUGUGAUUUCGUUUUAUGCAAUUCGGAAAUCGCAAGCAUCUGUUUAAUUUCCCAAUAAUUUCAUUUCUCGCUUCUGUACUGUAAUACAAGCCUCUUCUUUUAUCACACAAUGUAGCUGCAAAUGAUACAUGAGCAUUAUCUAAUAUAUUGAUCUACAAUUAUUUUGUGCCGUUUAUGACCAGCUACAGGAUUUUAGCCGCACAGUAUACCGGCGUAACAAUUCAGCAUUUUGUGUUCAUGGGUCUCUCAUUUUGUCAGACUAUAUAUAUGUGUCGAGAUUUCAAUUAAUUAUUUUUAGUUUUGAUCAUCUUUAGCUCGUAUAUUACUGUGUCUCCUAAAUUCAAUUUUGCAGUUGUGCACCGUCCCAGAGGGAUCAGGAAACAAAACUACAGAAGUUCGGAGACUCAUCUGAAAGUACCGAACUGCCAAUCAAGAUGGAAUAUCGAAAUCUCAACUCAUCGAUCGCUUGAGUUUGCUGAGUCAUUCAGCUGCUAUCUUAGAAGCAUUGCACCUGUAGCACCCUCGACUUCCCAUGUGGCAUUUGCAGUUCAGUCCCUCUGUUGUUUAUUAUAUCUUUUGUAGCUCUUUGUUUCAAUCUAGGUGCCGACCCCCUUCGUUGUUGUAGCACACAAUUCGCAUAAGCUGAGGUUGGGAGUUUAAAUUAGGGUUCCAAGUUGUAUUUAUUUAAGUUUAUUUUUAGAAUUUCGAGUACAAUUCCCGUUAUUUUUCUGCUUGUUUCUGUGUUUUGUGAUUGUGAGUCAUUGAGUAUUUCCAUAACGUAC